AGUGAACGCUGGCGGUAGGCCUAACACAUGCAAGUCGAACGGCAGCACAUUAAUAUCUUGCUCUUACGGGUGGCGAGUUUCGUACGUGUGAGGAAUACAUCGGAAUCUACUUUUUCGUGUGGGAUAACGUAGGGAAACUUACGCUAAUACCGCAUACUACCUACUGGUGAAAUCAUGGUAUCUUCGGACCUUUCGCGUUUUAAUUAGCCGAUGUCGGAUUAGCUAGUUGGCGGGGUAAAGUCCCACCAAGGCGACGAUCCGUAGAUGGUCUGAGAGGAUGAUCAGCGAAACUGGAACUGAGACACGGUAAAGAGUACUAAGGGAGGCAGCAGUGGGGAAUAUUGGAAAAUGGGCGAAAGCAUGAUCGAGCAAUACCGAGUGGGUGAAGAAGGACUUCGGGUUGUAAAGCCCUUUUGUUGGGAAAGAAAAGAAGAAGGUUAAUACAACGCUGUUCUGACGGUAACAAAAGAAUAAGCAACGGCUAACUUCGUG
rnacentral:rRNA from 1 species